AGAUAUGAAAGAGAAGACGAAAUGGUUGAAGACAUUGAUGAUAUUGGAUCAAAAUUCUAUUCAGUAUCAAAUAUUAAUAAAGAAGAUAAGCUAUUUCUUGAAGAAUUUUAUGAAGAAAAAUUAUUGGAUACUGGUCAUUACUUGAAUACCUUGACUAAGCAAGAAAAUUGGUCUACAGAAAAAUUUAAAAAAAUAAGAAAAAAGGCAUAUGGAUUUUUGCUUCAAGAAAGAUUCUUAUAGAAGAGACUAAAGAAAGGAAUUGGAAUGCUACAAAGAGUGAUAGGCAAUAAGGAAGAGAAACAAAAAUUAUUAAAGGGAUUUCAUGGUAGUUUAUGGGCAGGACAUAGAGGAAUUUGGGCUACUUUUGCUAAGCUUAAAGAACAAUAUUGGUGGAAAAAU
rnacentral:lncRNA from 1 species